CCAAUCAGGAGAAGCAGACCAG
rnacentral:miRNA from 1 species